UGAGACUGGGGAAGAAAAAUAUAGCCAUCUUACAAUUAUACAAACACAAACCUAGCAGAAUAAUGGCCCACAAAUUGGAGGGAGCGUCCUUUUCAGAUGAAUAGUACUUCCAGCCUUGAGCACUAUUGUCAAGUCUGUAUUCAUCCGCAUGGCUUAGAGUUUUCUAUAGAAUGUGGCUAGUUGGGAAAUGCAGUUAGCUGAAUUUUCAGCUGUGAAUAUAUUUCAGACUUUCUUAGAAGAAGAAGCAUUUAAUUCUCAUUGAGGAGGUAAAAAAAAUUUUUUUAAAAGAAGUUUCUGCUAAACAUCUAUGCAACAGAAAAUGCUAUAAUGAAUUACUGGAUGGCAAUAUUCCGUUGAAGCCUAAGAACAAUGGUUGAGGAUUGAGGCAAGUUCUGAUCGUCUUCUUGAUCUAUUUUUUUUAAUCAACUGUAGGCUGGGCCCUACAAUGAGCUUUUCAGCUUUUAUCAAUCAAAUCAUCGAAUUCACUUUCUCCUUUUCUUUCACACGUCCUUCCCCACCAUCCCAUCCUCCAUACACCAAAGUCUCUUUGAAGAUUUGAGAACAGUGCAAAUGUAGUGUCUACUUGGCCACAGAGAGCAGAAAGUCCUUUUCUUGACCCUCUCUUGAAACCCUGUGGUUGCUCAGUGAUUAGAGCCAGAUGUACACCCUGUCCUGCACUUUGAACACUGUAAUUUUCUUCCAGCAUCAGGAGCUUGUAUGGCUCUGAACAGUGGAUAAUCAUUGCAGCACUUGACAACAAUGCAGGUGCCUGGUAUGUACCUCUAGGGAUUCUAAUUUCAAGGUUCUUUGGUGAGGUCCAUUGAUAAGCAUCACCAGUGAUUCAAAUGCAGGUAGUCCAGUCUACCUUUUGUAAGUCAUACUGCCAUGGGCUUUGAUGUCAGGCCUGUGUUCAAGUCUUACCUCUGUUUGUGACCCAGGAUGUGUUAUAUAAUUUAUUUCCACAUUCAUUUUAUUCUCAUUAUGCAGCUAAGAAAAAUCCUACCCAUUACUGACCCAUCCAGGUUUGAGACUAAAUUAUUACACACUCAUGGCUCCUGGAUAAUUCCUUAGGAUCAGCUGAUGCCCUGACGCAUUCCUUCACAAAAGUAAUUAUAAAUGGGACAUCUAAACAAUGAUUGAUUAAAAAAUAUUCUAAGUGCCCUGUUAAAUACUGAUUACCAUUGAAAGCAUUAGUGGGAAAACAGUUGAUGCUGGUGGUUGUGGGCAUUUACUGAAGGGUCUUGAUGUAUGAACAAUAUGGGGGCUAGAGAAAGGGGAAACUUAUCUUCAAGUAAAAUUCUACAGAAAUGGUAAGGUCAGACUGCCUUACACAUCUUUAUUGGUGUUUUUAUUUUGAAGUUGAUCAGAAGCAGGUCUGUGGCUCACUGGAGGUUAAGCAGAAAAUCCUGGGAACCAGCCUUGCUUCUUGCUUUAACCCUAUAAUGGUUUCAGAACAUUUUGUUAUCUAUUUGUUUAUUUUUUUUAGACAGAGUCUCGUUCUGCCACCCAGGCAGGAGUGCAGUGGCGUGAUCUCUGCUUAUUGCAACCUCUGUCUCCUAGGUUCAAGCGAUUCUCAUGUCUCAGCCUCCCAAAUAGCUGGGAUUACAGAACCAGAAUCAGGAGGAAACAGCAGUGAAAUAGGAUUCAGACGGGAAGGCUUUGAAAUUACAAGGUCAGUUGCAUUAUGGAAACUUUGAUUUCAAGGGAUGAGCUUCAAGCUGACCGCAUGAGAUUGAUACAGACUCAUAGAGGUGAUCACCGACAACCAGCAACAAUCAAAGAAUGGAGAAAAAGCGGGGAAAGGGCUAAUUCUUUUUAUGACAAGCUGCUUCUACUAGCCAAUCACUGGAGCAUUAAUUCUGGUUCAAAGAAGCCUGAGGGAGUAUCCUCCAACCUAGUAACCAGAUGGUCAGUGCUGCAAUAGUGUCAACAGAUGGAGUGGGGAAGUGGGGAAAUGGCCAAAACAUUGAACAUAAAGUGAAUUUGAGCCUAAAUGGAGAUGCCUCUGUGGCAGCCUUCCAGCUGUAAAUCCAGGAAGUCCCCCAAACACAGCAUAGGUCAUUAGUUCCUUGAAGGUGUCCCUGAAGUCCCAGAAACAGGCUUUCAAGGUAUUAAGGGUAGGGGGAGGGAGGAGAACUCAUAAGCUUUUUAUGUUUAAAAAGCCCUAACAGAAAUCAUAUUUCACAUCUAUA